GCGGCCGUGGCGGAAUGGCAGACGCGCUAGGUUGAGGGCCUAGUGGGGGCAACCCCGUGGAGGUUCGACUCCUCUCGGCCGCACCA
rnacentral:tRNA from 1 species